CCUUCUGCUCCUCCAUCUUUCCUGCCUCACUGUCACAUAUUUGUUCAGUGUAGUGGCGCUGGAAGCUGCGAUGGGUCACACGGUGCUGUUGUCUGGGCUGUAAAGUGCUUGCUUUAGAAGCACGAGGAAAUGAACUUGACCCCAGAACCCGCGGUCUUACGUAUCCCAGGCCGACCUUGAACUUCAAAUUUUUCUGCCUCUACAUUUCAAAUGCUGGGAUUACAGGGUCAGCAAAUGUCCAAAAGUGACUUCAGCAAUUGCAUUAAUGGUGACCAGUUGGUGUCAUAAAUGAAUAGUGUGUUGACGUGUUUCAUUUAUUGGGUGCUUUUUUACAUCUUUAAAAAGCACCUUUGAAUACAUCUUCUUCUCAAAAACCAGCUCUGCAGAGAUUACCAGCCCGUUUUGAAGAUGAGGCCAAGGAAGCUCAGGUCAGUUAGCUAGACGGUAAGCCUUGCAGAUAAGAGCCACUUUCUUUCCCUCCUGUCCUGUUUCAUCCUCCUUCAGGAGACGGAGAUGUAUAGAUGCUGCUAUGCUGUUGCAUUUACAAGACCAUAAGGGAACCCCUUGGGACCCCUGAGCAACAUGGAGUGUGUCAUCAGGAGUAUCAUUCAGCGGCCAGGGUUGGAAAUCCCCAUGCUCUGCAGACCGACAGCCAAUACUGUUCGUUCCCUGAGAAGUUCUGACUGCGGGUCCCCUGGUAGGGUAUGACAAACCUCAGGCCCACGUUUUCAGACAACUGUUGUGGCCACAGAAGUUCCCCAAGAUAGUUGGUAAAUCCUUGUCGAGUCUGUUUUGAUGCUGUGUGGGCAGCUGGGUUUCACCAGGAGGGCACCGAAAGUGCCAGCCUCAGACAGUCCAGAUCCAGAGCCAGGGGAUCCCCACGUCUUCCUCCCCUCCCUCCUGCUUGGCUUCAUAGCUCCCUCUCCGUGACUUGUGAGAUCUGAUAAAAUGCUGACAUUUAUACAUGCUGUUUCAGUCGGAAGCUUUGCCAAGAUCUUUGAGAUGUGUUCUUUUUAACUGUAUGCAACCCUGCUUUCCAAACUUCAGCCAGAUCCUAUUCAAAGGGGGAAUCCAAAGUGGAUCCUCGAGGUUCUGAAAAUACAGCUCAGACAGGC